rnacentral:rRNA from 1 species
UACAGAGGUCCCACGCGUUGUUCGGAUUCAUUGGGCGUAAAGGGUGCGUAGGCGGCGCGGUAAGUCGGGUGUGAAAUCUCGGGGCUUAACUCCGAAACUGCAUUCGAUACUGCCGUGCUUGAGGACUGGAGAGGAGACUGGAAUUUACGGUGUAGCGGUGAAAUGCGCAGAUAUCAGGAGGAACACCGGUGGCGAAGGCGGGUCUCUGGGCCGAUACUGACGCUGAGGAGCGAAAGCGUGGGGAGCGAACAGG